rnacentral:rRNA from 1 species
UCCAGACUCCUACGGGAGGCAGCAGCGGGGAAUAUUGCACAAUGGGCGAAAGCCUGAUGCAGCAACGCCGCGUGAAGGAAGAAGGGUUUCGGCUCGUAAACUUCUCUCAACAGGGACGAAAGAAAUGACGGUACCUGAAUAAGAAGCCCCGGCUAACUACGUGCCAGCAGCCGCGGUAAUACGGAGGAUGCGAGCGUUAUCCGGAUUUAUUGGGUUUAAAGGGUGCGUAGGCGGAUUUUUAAGUCAGCGGUAAAAUGUCCGGGCUCAACCCGGGCCGGCCGUUGAAACUGGGGAUCUUGAGUGGGCGAGAAGUAUGCGGAAUGCGUGGUGUAGCGGUGAAAUGCAUAGAUAUCACGCAGAACUCCGAUUGCGAAGGCAGCAUACCGGCGCCCGACUGACGCUGAGGCACGAAAGCGUGGGGAUCGAACAGGAUUAGAUACCCGCGUAC